rnacentral:lncRNA from 1 species
GGCUGAUUAUUUUGUUUUUUUUACUAAACUUAAGUUGUACGAUUACAAGUUUACCUCUAUCGAAGAAUAGUUACUCUCAAAUCACGUAAUAAUUAACAUUUAUAAUACAUGGAAACAUUUUAAGGAAUAUUAAGUAGCAACAAACAUUCUAGUAUUUUUUUGACAUGAAGAGUACAUGCAUGUAAAUGCUCUUUUGUUCCGACGUUGGAAAGUUCCGAGCAGAAAGAACUAACUAGGCAAAAAGUUUAACUAGUUACUUUGUUCUUCCUCUGGUUUAAAAGUUCCACCGGAACAAAGUGACUAGUUAAAAAGUUCCAACGGAACUUAUCAACUAGUUAGAAAGUUCCUUUUUGCCAAAUUAUUCAAAACCGGAACUAACAAACUAGCCGUAAAGUUUCAACGGAACUUAUCAACCAGGCAGAAAGUUCUAUUUGGAGAAUUGAUGCAAAGUAAAAGUGCAACAAAUUAUAUUUGAACCUUUUAAAGGGAAACCAAGAUACUGAUUACAAAAGUCAAAAAGAACUUAUCAACUAUCCACAAAGUUCCUCUUUGGCGAAUAAGUCAAAACCAGAACUAACAAACUAGCCCAAAAG